AAAAGGAUAUAAAAUAUUUUAUAAAAAUAACUGACAUGUACGUUUUCAACUAUUUCGAUAUCAAAACAAAAAUUUUUAUUUUACUAUAUAAUUAUACCAUAUUAUUAUUUUACCUUUAUUGAUAUUAAUAUUUUUUAAAUAAGAUUUUUAAAAUUUUUGUAGUUUUAUGACAUUUAGAGUGUAUACCAAUCAUAGUAGUUCGAAAACUAUAUUUAAAUAAUUUGUAAAAAAAAAAAGAUAAAAUAGUUGUUUAUGAGAAUAGUUAUCUUGAAUUCCAGGAAAACGCUUUCUGUUUGGUACCAUGUUUUGGAGGCAGCCUCAAUAAGUUUAUAUGUAUAAGACGUAGUCAUGACAUGAAUUCUUAAGAGCGAUGCCCCAUUUUUAGGUUAUGUCCGUAGCAGUUCAUAAAUAGAGAAGUCAAACCGCGAUAUAGAAGUCUCUUCCUUAUGAAUAAACAUGGAUAAAUUAUAAAAAAUAUCAAAGGAAUAUUUUAUGGAUUAUUUAUAAAAAAAAAGGUUAAAAAUAAUUUUUUGUAAAAUUAAAUAUUGUUGAACGAAGAAUGAGUUUUAAAACUUUUGAUAAUUUUGCUCAGUGAUUAGAAAAAUAAUAUAUUAUUGUUUAUCAAGUGAAUAUACAGUCUAGCUAGAAACUGAUAUUAGUGAACUAUCAAUAUUAACUAAUAUUGGACAUUACUUAUAAAAAAUUUCAUUUUCAUUUUCAAAAUCUCAUGAAUAAACAAUUUUCAAAAAUCAAAAUUCCAAAUCUGAAAAAAAAAAACUUUAUAAAGCAAUUUCACAGACAAAUACAUGAAAAAUAUCCAAAAAAGCUUUCUUGCAUGAUUUAAUAGCAUUAUGGGACUGGAAACGUUCAAGAUUACCAGAACCAGUUAAUCUGAAAACCUGUACAAAUAUAUAUCCAACUAACAAGGGAUGGGAUUCUACCAAUGAAUAUUACUUCUCCGAUUAUUAAUUCCAUUAAUAUAUCUCAACCGUUUCGACCGUUAUAAUACCGUUAAAAUUAUACUAAUAAAUCGUCCUGAUAAUCCCGCCAUUAACGUGUACCUCGCCUCGUUUUAUCGACAGCGUUUGUCGUUUCGCGAGUCAUUGUCGCGGAAAAUAUCCGCUCCGCCAGUCUGGUUGGAUUGUUCACCCAUUUACAGGGUAGAAAUCUCGUAUGAUAGGAACCACUGUAUUGUACUAAGUGCCAUGAAGAUAAAUUCGUUCAUUCGUCUUGUAAAAACAUAUCCAAUCAUUGGAAAAAGCUUCUUAAAAAUGCAAUGCAUUUGAUACCUGUUUUACUUAAUGGAAAUAAUACUUAAAUACUUAAAUAUUUCAAAAAAUCUUUAUUGUAUUCUAUAUUUAAUAUUUAAUAUAAUUUAAAUUAUUUGAAACUUUUUUCUUAGAAUUUAUUCUUGUUUUUUGUAAAUAUUUUGAAAAAAUUAUAAGAAAUUAUAAUAAAUAUUAGAAUGUAUUGA